AAACCCAGCUCAGGGCAGGAGAGCAGGGCUGCCAGGGAGUACUGCUUGCGCACCCUCCACUCCACACCGCCUGCCACAAAUCCCAUUUUCCCCAAGUAUGACAACGGGAGAUGUGCCCUGCUUUUGCAAUCAGACUCAGCCCAUACCCCACAUACUUUCCACUAUUGGCAUCUUUUUUUUCAGAACCGUUUCAACUCUCUCUCCUUGAGGUGAGUGCAAGAAGUGGAGCCCUGUCCCAAGAGUGCAAGUCUAAGCUGUACUGCAGAGCAGCGAGGCGCUGGCCCGUGGAUCCUGUGCUGUGAUGAGAGCACCCAGACUGCAGAAACUCUCAGGGCUGUGCACAAAGGUUCUGCCAUAUUGCUGCUGUGCUCGCUGCUGUCUGUCACCAGCCUCAUCCCCAGUGCUGUGGCUCACGGUCAGUGCUGCAGGAACUAUCAUCGCCAAUGGGACUUCUUAGAAGUGCACUGCUGGAAAACCAAGUGCUGAUUUGAUCCUGUGAAGACCUCCCAAACAACGUCAGCAGUUUGAACUUCCCCACUGUGGAGCCGUCCCUCGUUCCCUCUGUGAGCAAUCUGCAAAGACCAAGCUGCCCCAUCCUGCCUGAUGGGGAACCACUCGAGAGGAAACCGCACUCAGGGCUGCAACCUCGGCGGUGCUGCAGGGCAGAAGCCACAGCCCCCAUGGAGGAGCAGGAGGCCUCGUGCAGGUCAGUCCCUAACCUGCAGUCUCACCCUGCCUGCAGGCAGAGCUCUCGGGCUGGCUGGAGGGAGCGAGGAGGUUUUAUUUAUGCUAGCUGCUGAGAAAAUGAUGCGAUGAGUCAGGCCUCUGCCACAUGCUGCUUUUACAAUUGGUUUGUUGAAAUUCCAGACAACUGGGCCUUUAUCGGCUGAAAAGGGAAAUGAGCUCAGUUAUUCUGUGUAAAUCCAAAGCAAUUUAUUUGUAGACUGAGGACGUAACCCAUGUAACCAGCUCUGCUUCUGAACUGCCAACUUCCCCACUGAUGUUCCUUCUCCCUUUCACUUCAAUAACACCCCGAUGUCGCAGG
rnacentral:lncRNA from 7 species